AUAAAAAAUGAAAACGAUCUCAGAAAAGCAGAAAGGAGGAAGGAUUGAACAUGCCUGCCAGCAAGCCAGUGCCUCUAAAGGAGAAAAGUUCUUGGCUUUCUCAUGCGUCCCGAGCAUCACACUUCUGCCAUACAUUGUAUUUAUACAUGUUCUGUGAAUAAGACAAAACUUAAAAGGACCUCUGAAAAUGUGAGAGAGCAGUGAUUUAAGAUGAGACUCAAACAAGGCUGGAGACAUUCUGGAGGUACAGUCCUGGAGUACGAUGGAGUCAUCCAGGUUUUGCCUGGAGGAGGUAUACCUCUGCAAAAGUCAAACAAGGAGUCGCACCUGUGAUGUCACAGAGGUCACAGGUGUUUGGGACUCGUGGCUGACACUUCAGUCAGGCAGCUGCACCUGCUCAGA